rnacentral:rRNA from 1 species
UACAGAGGAGCCAAGCGUUGUCCGGAUUGACUGGGCGUAAAGCGCACGCAGGCGGAUGCGCGCGUGGGGUGUGAAAUCUGGCCGCUUAACGGCCAGGCGCCAUCCCAUACGGCGCGUCUGGAGUGAUGCAGAGGUCGAUGGAAUUGCCGGUGUAGUGGUGAAAUGCGUAGAGAUCGGCAGGAACACCCAGGGGGAAACCAGUCGACUGGGCAUCUACCGACGCUGAGGUGCGAGAGCGUGGGGAGCGAACCGG